UACGUAGGGCGCAAGCCGUUAUCCGGAAUUUAUUGGGCGUAAAAGAGCUCGUAGGCGGUUUGUCGCGUCUGCCGUGAAAGUCCGGGGCUCAACUCCGGAUCUGCGGUGGGUACGGGCAGACUAGAGUGAUGUAGGGGGAGACUGGAAUUCCUGGUGUAGCGGUGAAAUGCGCAGAUAUCAGGAGAACACCCGUAGCGUCAA
rnacentral:rRNA from 1 species